AAGAAAUCCCUGCAGGGCUUUUGCCAGGAGAUAAGAGCCAAGAACUCCUUCUCAUGGCUGAACAGAAAGGAGCAGCAUAAAGGUUACACCGCUUCAGUGGAGGGAGAAGACCAUAUACUCUUUAGAGGGAGCCCCCCAGCCUUUUAAAGAAGUCAGAUUCAGCGGGAUUUCCCCAGAAGCCCAGACCCUGUUCCCUGCUGCUCCUCGCUGCCUUAUUAUUACUUGACAGCUUGUCUCCCUGGGGGGACUGAGAAUAUUUUGCCAACAGCCAACCCAACCAUCAUCUUCAGACAAAAGUAAGUGGGUUCCUUUCUGCAUGCACAAUGAAUCCAGAUCCUUGGGAUUUCUCAGAAGCAACAGUGGAUCGGAGCAUGACAGGGAAGUGAAAUAUGCCCACUGCAUCCAGACGGG
rnacentral:lncRNA from 1 species